GCAAGUCGAACGAUGAACCUCACUUGUGGGGGGAUUAGUGGCGAACGGGUGAGUAACACGUGAGUAACCUGCCCUUGACUCUGGGAUAAGCCUGGGAAACCGGGUCUAAUACUGGAUACGACCUUCUGGCGCAUGCCAUGUUGGUGGAAAGCUUUUGUGGUUUUGGAUGGACUCGCGGCCUAUCAGCUUGUUGGUGGGGUAAUGGCCUACCAAGGCGACGACGGGUAGCCGGCCUGAGAGGGUGACCGGCCACACUGGGACUGAGACACGGCCCAGACUCCUACGGGAGGCAGCAGUGGGGAAUAUUGCACAAUGGGCGCAAGCCUGAUGCAGCGACGCCGCGUGAGGGAUGAAGGCCUUCGGGUUGUAAACCUCUUUCAGUAGGGAAGAAGCUGGCCUUUGGGUUGGUGACGGUACCUGCAGAAGAAGCGCCGGCUAACUACGUGCCAGCAGCCGCGGUAAUACGUAGGGCGCAAGCGUUAUCCGGAAUUAUUGGGCGUAAAGAGCUCGUAGGCGGUUUGUCGCGUCUGCCGUGAAAGUCCGGGGCUUAACUCCGGAUCUGCGGUGGGUACGGGCAGACUAGAGUGCAGUAGGGGAGACUGGAAUUCCUGGUGUAGCGGUGAAAUGCGCAGAUAUCAGGAGGAACACCGAUGGCGAAGGCAGGUCUCUGGGCUGUAACUGACGCUGAGGAGCGAAAGCAUGGGGAGCGAACAGGAUUAGAUACCCUGGUAGUCCAUGCCGUAAACGUUGGGCACUAGGUGUGGGGGACAUUCCACGUUUUCCGCGCCGUAGCUAACGCAUUAAGUGCCCCGCCUGGGGAGUACGGCCGCAAGGCUAAAACUCAGAGGAAUUGACGGGGGCCCGCACAAGCGGCGGAGCAUGCGGAUUAAUUCGAUGCAACGCGAAGAACCUUACCAAGGCUUGACAUG
rnacentral:rRNA from 1 species